UUUAUUCUACUUUGUUAUAAGUGAUUGUAAAUUCUGCUUUGUAUAAAAUGUUGUCAUAUUAGAAUGUAGCAUUAGGGUCAUUGGUUACUUGCCCAACAUUUCCUGAUUACAUUGGAAUUUCACUAUUGGCAGUGAUUUUCUGACUACAUGACUUCUAGAGGGGAGUUGGCUUACCAGCAGCUUUGCAGUGGAAUGAUUGAAGAGUUUAAUGAUUGCUCAAAACAAGUCCUCGAAAUGGAGUCACUGAUUCAGAGUCCUGACUAUAGCCUUGAUGAUCUAGCACAAAUCUUUAGAGCUGUUCAAGAUCAGGAAAGGCAUAAAGAUUCAAUCUCGGGAGGUCAAAAGCAAAGAGUUGCAAUCACAAGAGCAAUUUUGAAACAUCCAAGAAUCUUACUUCUUGAUGAAGCUACAAGUGCCUUUGAUGUCGAAUAUGACAUAAUUGUACAAGAGGUGUUGCAUAGAAUAAUGUUAAACCGAACAACUAUUAUUGUAGCGCACAGCUUAAGUACCAUAACAAAUGCUGAUACCAUUGUUGUUAUUCAUCAAGGAAAAAUAAUUGAAAGAGGUUCAUAUGCUCAGCUCACAAGGGAUCCUGCUUAUUGAAAUUCUUAAUGAUGCAGGGAAUUUGUGAAGACAUGAUACAUCCUGACCAUGUUGUAGUCAUUAAGUUCACUAUGUCUGGGCAUACUCAGUUGCGCAGCAAUGCAAUCAUGAUCACCAGCACCAUCACGGCCAUCCUUUUCAGCACAAUGGUAAUGAGAUUCAUGUUGAGCUCAUCCAAACAUUAUUGAAGAUGGAUCCAACAGAUGAGGACUUGAAGCUAAGGUUAUUCACGGGUGAUGUUUCUCGACUUGGCCCUGCAAAGAGGUUUCUCAAGGCCUUGGUUGAUAUUCCACUGGCUUUCAAACAUCUUGAGUCACUACUGUUCAUGUAUACACUUCCCGAAGAGGCUUCAAGCAUUAAGGAAUGCUUUAAAAUAUUAGAGGUGAAAAUUGGAUUCAUUGACUUUUCUUUUGUC